GUCUAUGGCCAUACCACCCUGAAUGCAUCUGAUCUUGUCUGAUCUCAGAAGCUAAGCAGGGUCAGGCCUGGUUAGUGCUUAGAUGGGAGACCGCCUGGGAAUACUGGGUGCUGUAGGCU
ensembl:rRNA n-R5s5 nuclear encoded rRNA 5S 5